UGUAAGAAAAGUCAGUCAUGCAUAUUUUUCACGAGAAACAAAAGUUUAAUUAAAAUUUAAAAGAGAAUAACGCUAGAAAAGCAGCGGUCAUUGUUUCUCGACUCGUGAGUGUAAAUUUUUCAACUCCGGCAGGUAAACAAACCACGCCGGUUAAUGGAAUCAACAAUUGCGCGUACAUUUUCAACGGAUAUACUUCAACGGCAUAGGAUAAACAUGCGAAACACGCGCGAGUUAAAAUAAUUGCGCGAAAUAAAACUGUUGACUAUUUGCCGCAGCCCAAAAUGCAUUUUAUUUGAUAUCGGCGCCACACAUAUUGGUUUAUUGAUAAAUACAAGGUAUUUGUGUGAAAACAUUCAACGAAAAUAUAAAAAAUUAUUGUUUCCUGCAAGACUGGUUGCUAACUAUUGAUAGGUUAUGUCUGGGGAUUAACUCAAGCGGAAAUACGUCGCAUUCGCUUGUGAUUCAGCCAAUUACAGUGUUAUUAUGUCAUAUAAAAUCUUAUAAUUGUCAUUUGUCAUCAAAGGAAAGGAAGAGUGUUGUUCCAACCGGAUGCAAUGAUACUUUUCAUUCUACAUGCAGCGCAUAGUUGCAAACAUUCAUUAGAUUCGAAAUAGUUGCGGUAGUUGUAGUUGUAGACGAUUGAGAUUGAAGACAAUGCAGUUUCCAGCUAGCAGCAAGCAGCAAGUUUCGAGUGAGUUUGAGCUACACGUUCGCACGAAUGGAUUUCAAUGCCUUUGCAGUGAUUUGUCACUUGUUUCAACUAUUUUAUCAGCGAAUACCAAUUUAACCUCAAUUACCUAAUUGAAUUUAAAGGUUAAAAUGUUUUUUAUAUAUAUGAGAUGCAAAUAUUUAGUUUGAAAUACUUGUUCAUGUUAAAAGUGAUACAUUUUUAUGUUUGUUUCGUGUUGGAUCACGUUUAAGUGCAAUUAUUUAGUCGUUGGUGUUAAUGGAGCGUGAAACGUCGCCAGUUUUGCAUACUGAAGCACUGCGCCAGUUUCACUUGAGGAGCAAGUAACACGUCCGAGAUGGGAGCCGAAAACAAACCAAAACGCACGAGAUUUGUUUCAUUUUCUUUCUUUUUUAGUGCAUGAACGACGUCAGAAUGAAGGAUUCAUGCGCGAGAUUGCAAGGAUUUAAAUGGUCUCACGUCGCAAGGCCUAAAAUGGAAGCUGGAAAGAAAAAUCAUGUUUUAAAGAAUAGUUUAGAGUAUAUUUUGGGUCAAAAUAUGUAAAAUCUUUCUAAAUUUUGUAUAUUUAUUAUGAAUACUUGAAGGUUAGUGGUUUUGUAAUUAUAUCUAUGUUAGGCAACCACACAUACACCAUUACUAUACAUAAAAAGGUUAUAAUCAAUUGAAUUGACAUUUUUAAAAGUUUUAUGAUAUAAAGGUGUUGUGCAAAUAGUAAAAUGUCACUCAGAAAAGACUUGUGAAGUGUAGCAAAGAAAAUUAAUCUAAAUAAUUGCCGUGAAUGACAUUACGCGAUUGUAGAAACAAGAAAAA